CGCAAGCCUGACGGAGCAACGCCGCGUGAGGGAUGAAGGCCUCUGGGCUGUAAACCUCUUUUCUCAAGGAAGAAGAUCUGACGGUACUUGAGGAAUAAGCCACGGCUAAUUCCGUGCCAGCAGCCGCGGUAAUACGGGAGUGGCAAGCGUUAUCCGGAAUUAUUGGGCGUAAAGCGUCCGCAGGCGGCCUUGAAAGUCUGUCGUUAAAGCGUGGAGCUUAACUCCAUUUCGGCGGUGGAAACUACAAGGCUUGAGUGUGGUAGGGGCAGAGGGAAUUCCCGGUGUAGCGGUGAAAUGCGUAGAUAUCGGGAAGAACACCAGUGGCGAAGGCGCUCUGCUGGGCCAUAACUGACGCUCACGGACGAAAGCCAGGGGAGCGAAAG
rnacentral:rRNA from 1 species